UAUCUCCACGUACUCGCGAACCCCACCCGAUUCUCAAUCUCCACAGAGGCCUCCGCCUUCGACUGACAACCGCACGUUGCAUCCUCUGCCGUUCUUCCCACCUCAGCCUAUUCUCGCCCGCUGUUCGCCCUCCCCGUCGCAGCUCCCACCGUCGAAGCCUCGUGACCCAACCCGCUUCUCCAGCUCCCCGGCGGCAUGGCUGACGCCUCCGCCUCCGACCGAUGUCCGUGCCUCUGUUCGGGUAAUCUCUACGUUAGGGCAAGCGAGCAGCUCACAAUCUCCUCCUCUGAGCGUGUGUGUCUCUGCUUAGGUAACCGUAUCCGUUUCGAAUCAGUUGGGUUUCCCGAUCUCGUCCGCAGAGGGACGUUUGAGCCCAUCUUCUCAGGUAAUCAAAAUUAGUCAGUUCCCUCAAUUUUGGCUUCUUCACAUGUAAAGCCUGAGUGGGCGAGGAGGGGCCUGAAACUUGAGCUCCUAGGAACUCUCUUCUGAGUUCUUCCAAUUCCUUCAGUUAGAUAGGAAGAAAGAUUUGCCAUUUACGCUGUUCUUGCAGUGGGUUCUGCUGAAUUCGAAUAAGGGAUUUGCUGAGUGCAGACCACUUUCUGUUGGCUUCGAUCCGGCCCGGCUCAAAUUAGGUUUGGUGAAACUUAUAAAAGAUAGAGGGACUAGAGUGACCCGUUUCAGCAUUGUAAUUACAUCGAUCGAUAUAAUAUAUUGAGGGAGGGUCCAGCAGCACGUGUGGAGGUUCUUGUAAAUUAUACAACCCGCCAACCCAUCUUCAGCUUUUGCUAGCUUUGCUGGACUACCGAGCAGGAUGAAAAGCAAAAAGCAGACGGUGUUCUUUCAAGCAGCAAAUCGGUUCAAGUUGAUGAUGCACUGGACGGUUUUGAGGAGAGGACGACCACCCAGUCCCCCACUGCACCCCACUCCCGCAGAAUAUACUACGAUGAAAGAUCCCCAGAUUCAGGAUGUAAGAUCAAAUACCGACCGGCUGGUUUGUUAACAUGGCUUCUGUAAAAAUACCACGAGAACAGAGAUUUCACUGUACGGACCAGCUACAAAGCCCGUUCCAUGCUAGGGAAUUAUAUGAAUUUGCUAUUCAAUGUAUUAUGAUUGAAAUCCCAUGUCUGGAAGAAGACACAGGCUUUGCCGCAUGCCGGUUAAACUAUUUCGUGGUUUGCAUUAGGAUACGAAUUUAUAAUUAUCACAUGACUUGGCCGGAAA